rnacentral:tmRNA from 1 species
GGGGGUGAACAGUUUCGACAGGGGAUCGUGUUCUUCAGGGAGCAUGCAGAGGUUGUCAGGCGGCCUCUCAAAAAACCUGGCAAACCAUAAAUGCUGACAACAUCAGCUGGAACGAAAGAGUUUCUGGACCGGUGACGGUUCCGAUGUCUUUCGCUCUUCCUAUCGCUGCUUAAUUGACAGCGACGUUACCGCGCCGACGCCCGUUGAGCGUACGUAACGACAUUUAACGGGCUGCUCUUCCGGGUGCGCUGCCCGCUCGGAGGAUAAGACUCAGGCAGAUAGCCGCGAGGGAUUUUGUUCAUGGAAGACCGCGCCGGCUAACCAAAACAUGAACUGAGCAUGGAGAAUCCUUUAGAGCUCAUGUCCUGGACGAGGGUGCAAUUCCCUCCACCUCCACCA